rnacentral:rRNA from 1 species
UACGUAGGGUGCAAGCGUUGUCCGGAAUUAUUGGGCGUAAAGAGCUCGUAGGCGGUUUGUUGCGUCGGCUGUGAAAUCCCGAGGCUCAACCUCGGGUCUGCAGUCGAUACGGGCAAACUAGAGUGUUGCAGGGGAGACUGGAAUUCCUGGUGUAGCGGUGAAAUGCGCAGAUAUCGGGGGGAACACCGGUGGCGAAGGCGGUUCUCUGGGCCUUACCUGACGCUGAGGAGCGAAAGCGUGGGGAGCGAACAGG